CAUAUCACCACCCUCUAUCCCCCUACGCACCCAACAUAUCUCUAGCCUCUUAUCUGUGUGUAUAUAUGUAAAGAGAGAGAGAGAGAGAGAGAGAGAAGACAGUCAUAUUAUUCUCUUGAAUAAGAAGAAAAGUUGAGUAAAAAACUUUUUUUUGAUGGUUUGUUUCUGCUUUUUGGUGGAUCAGAAGAGGGUGAUCAAGAAGAGCAAGCCGGUGGCCGGAAUGUGUUCGCGUUGCUGCCACGGCGCGAGGGUGGCGGAUAUGAAAACCAUGACAAGAUUUUGUUAUAUCCCAUUUUAUUGGAAAUCUUGGAAGGCUGUAAUCUGCAGUUUUUGUGGGGCUAUUCUCAAAUCUUACAGGUGAACCCAUUCUGCAGUUUUCGCACCUGAAUCAGAAUACGCUGCUUAUAUCUUUGUGACAUGCGAUGAGAUGCACAAAGGAAAGGAAGAAGGCCGGCUUUAGCGACUUGAAGAUCGUUCCUUUGUUACUUUACAUAAGAGUCUAUGUUCCGUACAGAGUACUGCGUUUAUACAGUUAUGAUUCGAAAUACCAAACGUCUCGUAUAGCUAUUUAAGGAUUGAAAAACUAGAUUUAAACCAGUAAAUUUUAUCACUUAUUGAUGAGUCUAAAGUUCUUAUCCCCUGUUUGAUUUAUGUAAAAAUCAGAUUUUUAGUAUAUUUUGAUGAAAGUUGAUAGAAUAUGUAUUUGAAAAAUUGUGGAUCCAAUAAAAUACGUUAUUGAAAUGAAUUAUUGAUUUGACUAAAAUUUUAAUUCAACUUUCUAGCUGAACCAUGAGAAUAUGAAUACUAUAUAUUUCUUCUUUAGUAGCUGCAGGGAACCAGCAAAUUCAUUAAAUGCUAGAAAUUUAUCACAGAACUUGUUUGAAAAUGUUAUUUUUGAAAAAAAAAAAAA
rnacentral:lncRNA from 1 species